UAGAACGCACUACCGAACAUAGGGAUGUUACGUUCAAAUCAUCAUAAAACCCAUAAAAGGGGUCUGCAACACACAAAUGUCCCAAAUGCAAGGAAAAAACUAUAUGUCAUUCAUAUAAAGCUCAUUCAAAACAAAUUUCAAGUUAAAAACAAAAAGGAAAGUUAGUUGUGCACAAACCUUCAAUGACCUCCUUUCUCUUUACUUACUUAUCCUCUGUCCCAACCUCUUUUUCUACUAGAUGAGAUAUUAUAUCAAGUUUAAAUCUGGAUCUAUCGAACUGGCAAAUUCCUCAUUAAUGAAAGAGCUCCUUAAGCA
rnacentral:misc_RNA from 1 species